rnacentral:rRNA from 1 species
UACGUAGGGUGCUAGCGUUGUCCGGAUUUAUUGGGCGUAAAGGGCGCGUAGGCGGCUCAUGAAGGCUGUGGUGAAAGUCCGGGGCUCAACCUCGGAUCGGCCGUGGCGACUCGUGGGCUGGAGCACUGUAGAGGCGGGUAGAAUUCCGGGUGUAGCGGUGGAAUGCGUAGAGAUCCGGAAGAACACCAGUGGCGAAGGCGGCCCGCUGGGCAGUGGCUGACGCUGAGGCGCGACAGCGUGGGGAGCAAACAGG